rnacentral:rRNA from 1 species
CUACACAUGCAAGUCGAGCGGCAGCGGGAAAGUAGCUUGCUACUUUUGCCGGUGAACGGCGGACGGGUGAGUAAUGCCUGGGGAUCUGCCCUGUUGAGGGGGAUAACUACUGGAAACGGUAGCUACUACCGCAUACGCCCUACGGGGGAAAGCAGGGGACCUUCGGGCCUUGCGCGAUUGGAUGAACCCAGGUGGGAUUAGCUAGUUGGUGAGGUAAUGGCUCACCAAGGCGACAAUCCCUAGCUGGUCUGAGAGGAUGAUCAGCCACACUGGAAUUGAGACACGGGCCAGACUCCUACGGGAGGCAGCAGUGGGGAAUAUUGCACAAUGGGGGAAACCCUGAUGCAGCGACGCCACGUGUGUGACGAAGGCCUUAGAGUUGUAAAGCUCUUUCAGCGAGGAGGAAAGGUUGGUAGCCAAUAACUGCCAGCUGUGACGUUACUCGCAGAAUAAGCACCGGCUAACUCCGUGCCAACAGCCGCGGUAAUACGGAG